UACGAAGGGGGGCUAGCGUUGCUCGGAAUCACUGGGCGUAAAGGGUGCGUAGGCGGGUCUUUAAGUCAGGGGUGAAAUCCUGGAGCUCAACUCCAGAACUGCCUUUGAUACUGAAGAUCUUGAGUUCGGGAGAGGUGAGUGGAACUGCGAGUGUAGAGGUGAAAUUCGUAGAUAUUCGCAAGAACACCAGUGGCGAAGGCGGCUCACUGGCCCGAUACUGACGCUGAGGCACGAAGCGUGGGGAGCAAACAGG
rnacentral:rRNA from 1 species